rnacentral:misc_RNA from 1 species
GGAUGAGGCAAAGGAUGGCCAUAUCUGCAGGAGUAAUUAACAGCCCUUAACAAGAAAUCACAAUAACUUAUCAAAGGAAAAAAAUUGAAGCUCAUUCUUGAUAGAAGUUCUCCUCAAUGCUCAACAGAAAUCAUGUAUGCUAAAUAUACCGCAUCAGCCUAAAUUAUUUUGCAGUCAUCAUCUUCAGCACACAUGAUUACCAUGAGGUAAAUAACAGGUAGGACAGAUAACAAAUACAAUCCCAGGUUUAGCCCUCCAAGGCUCCAUCUCAUGUAUUGACCUCAAGUGCAACCCGCUACCAUUUGCAGUUUGCAGAUCGCAAGAAGUGCCAUGAGAAAGGAUUUGGUGUCACAAAAUGGGAAAUGUGCAAUCCAGCCCCAUGAAGGACCUGCUUUGCAUUUGAACCCGAAAAUUCACUGUUUUGAAAAGAAGGCUGGAACACUUGCAGAUUUGAUCAAUUAAAGUGCUUCACCCAACUCAUACAGUACAAUUCCAAUUCAUGUAUUCACUCCAAGUACAAACCCAUUGCUAUACGAAGGAAGAUUGCUAGAAGUGCCAUGAGUCUUCACAGGAGAGCGAAAAGGAUUUGGUGUCACAGGAUGCGUAAUGUGUAAUCCAGCUCCUCGAAGUACUUGCUUUGCAUUUCCACAUGAAAUUUCUGACUGUUCUGUAAAGAAUGCUGGAACACUUGCAGAUUUUAUUAAUUCAAGUGCACCACCCCAACUCAUAUAGCUAUCUAAUCCACAGUUCAAUGCAACUAUAAUAUGGGGAGAUGGCAGGUAGGUGGCUUCCUCUUGAUAAAUGCCUCUCACGAGAUUCACCCUGACCCUGCUACUUAUUCCUGAAGUUGAGCCCGAUAAAUUGGUAGGAACUUCAGUCCCCACCAUUACAAUAUGUAUAUUGCCUGAUCCAUUGAGCAAAUGGCUAAUCUCUGCAAAUGCUGGCAACCAAUCCAACUCCCCUUCAGGUCCCAGGUAAUGAAGAAUCACCUCUUUCCCCUUGAGUAACAGAUUCUUUGAACUGAUGUUCAGGGUAGUCAAAAUGUAAUAAACUGUCAGUGGGUGAGAAAGAAUGUCAGCAACAGGGCUUGACAGUGGCAGUGACCGAAGAUUAUAGUACUCUGGCCAACCAGAAAGAAGGAUUGGGCUCGAUAUCCCAUCUCCUAAAUGGUUGAGAAAAGGUGAAUCACGAGGAUACUCAUUGUCGUCCAGCCCACCCCAUGAAUUCCACAAUCCACCUUUAACAGGAAGGAGUCCAAAGGGGCAGUGAGAAUAGCAGCUACACUUUCUCCUCCACAUUCCUUUCUGAUGGACACCUAAUGACUCGAGCCAUUUACAAGGUUGUUCAGCAGAACAGGGGAACACAAAGAUUUUUAUUACUAGCUCUUCUUCCCUUUCCAUCAUAGCCUUGUAAAGGCCGCACAUGCUCUUAUGUGUUUCCUUCCAGUGCUGCUUCUGGCAGAAAGAAUCACAGUAGACCACUGCUCGACACUGCCCACAAGAGAGAGCCUGUUCUCCAUGAACUUCUUUCUCACACAUUAUGCACUUCCUCAAGUUGGAAUUUGAGUUUGCUCUCACAUCAAUAAAGAUCUCCUCCCUGGGUCGUUCAGCAUACUUGGUGGGUGUCGAGCUCGCUGUCGAGCUUCCCUUUUCCUCAUAUGCUUGACCAGGCGGAUGCGAGAUUGUAACUGCAACAAGGUCGUAACCCUUGGCCAUUUCUGGAGGCCAGUUAACGUCAACAGUCUCAAUAAAUGGUUCAAAAUACAUCAACUUUGACCACUUUGGAGCACCUUCUUUAUCUUCCUGAAGUAAAGGAUGCACCAGAGACAUGGCUUUCACUAACGCAUACACAAACCUAAGCUCCUCAAGAGUUGGAUGUCUGAACCGAAGAACACCAGAAGACAUACAACGUGCAACAUCAAUUACAGGAAAUCUAUCAGUACCUGAUACUUCCAGUGACAACGACUUGAUCAUUUUCCUAUUAGAAGGAAACAUCAACGAUUCAGGUUCAUAUGUGACCCUCAAAAGCUCAACAUUAGGAACACAAAUUGUCUCUCUAGACCCUGUCAUCUUCUUAGCAUCAUUUUCAGAUCGAAACAAGUAAAAGCCAACAUCCCCACCAUCACCUCCUAUGAACUGAACACAUGGGAAAGGUUGUUUCUUGCUGGACCAAUCUGAGUCCUUCCCUACCCGGAUUCCAAAAAAAUGUGGUGGACGCAAUCUUCUCCAUGGAUCAGUUCUGUAAAGUGCAGCGCAAGCUUUGUAAAUUGACUUGAUGAAAUUAGGAGCAAUACCCUCCACCGUCAUCAAGCAGGUCCCUGAACCAGGACCAAGCCCCGGACCAGAUCCAAAUUGCUCCUGGAAUCUAUCAAACAGGCUCUUCAAAUGCAAAUCCAUUUAAAGGACACGUGUAUCAGAUCUACUGAAUUCUUAUCAGACUCCAAAGCCCGAUUAAAACCAGUAAAUCCAAAAACAAGAACCACCCUUUAUUGCUACUAUACGCACGAGAAAUACUAAAAACUUUAAAAUUGAGAAUGAAUUUGAUCUGAAAGGGCAUAAACCAAACGUACUGAAAACUAGAGAGUCCAAUCACAAGAAAUGCUAGAAAAUCAUAACAUGGUAAUAUUGAACACUAAAGAAAACCUGAAACGGAAGUGGAGAUCGAAAGAAAAUAUCAAAUAAACAUAGAAAGAACAAUGAUCACUGAUCUGUACCAAAACUGGCUGCUGAAACGCGGACCAGAGAGUGACCCAGUUCAAAAGACAGCAAUCAAAAAAACAAGAAUCUUUAUCUUUU